rnacentral:tRNA from 1 species
GGAAGGGUGGCAGAGUGGUUGAAUGCGCCGGAUUUGAAACCCGGUAAACCUUAAAAGUUUCGUGGGUUCAAAUCCCACCCCUUCCGCCA